rnacentral:lncRNA from 1 species
ACGCAGCAACCGACCCGCAAAACAUCACGCUCCAACCUGCCAAACCUACAAACACGCCUCCUAGAAAUGAAGCUUCGAACAUUAUCAUGCAUCCCAAACCGCCAUCCUGGUAUGCCUGUACAUCCGCAAACGAGGCUGUAUGAAUACAGGGCAAGGUACUUGGUGGUACAUGUCUGCCAACCUGCUGGGAAAAUAUAAUAACGACAGACAAGGACCUCAUGUUUAUGCCCCGCCAAACAUACAGGUGAAAAUAACCUAACACCAAAGCAGCCUAGCCUGCUCUGCGCUGCUAUUUCGAGUGCUGUAGCCAAGAGCCGCAAAGAAAAACUCAUCCCUCCCACACUACUGCAAUCCUCUACGAUCCUUCCUGCGCGCGCACGAGCACUGCUGCUCCUUGUCACCGUAUCUAACCCGACUCAAGACGGUUCAAGGGCCCCGUGAAGAAGGGCACGAGAAACAGCAGGCAUUCGCAAACAAAUGGCGAAAGUGCCUUCCUCACGCUUACCGGACAGACAUGGCCAAUAUCCAUCGCCCGAUUAACUGCUGCUACCACCGUAAAGUGCAAGAUGAUUCACUUCCGUACAACAUCCGCGCGGUGCUGUAAUCGUUGCGUGGCAGUGUCCUCGGCUAC